rnacentral:misc_RNA from 1 species
CCGAGUGUAAAAACUCCCAAACCAUUGUGAACCUACCACUGUUGCUUCGGCGGCCUCGCCCCGGGCGCGUUCGCGCGGCCCGGACCCAGGCGUCCGCCGGGGGCUCCAAACUCUUGUCUUUUAGUGUAUUUCUGAGUGGCAUAAGCAAAUAAAUCAA